AAAAGCUAAGGAAGGAGGACGGAGCAGCCAAAGUUUCCUCUGAUUUGGGAAAGCAAAUUGCUUUCGUGUUUUGGAACCAUGGGUUGGAUUUUGCUACCUUUCCUGAUCCUCACUUACUGCUCAGAAGUCCUUUGCCAGUACACUCUGACUCAGCCAGCAUCCCUGUCAGCAGCUCUCAACGACAAUGUUCAGAUCUCCUGUAAUCUUAGCAGUGGAUACAUAUUUGGCGACUUCAACUGGUAUCAGCAGAAAGAAAGGAAAAAUCCAGUUUGGCUCUUGAGCUACAACGUAAGCUCUAGUGAGACAAAGUAUGGUCCAGGGGCUUCUGGCCACUUCUCUGCCUCUAUAAAUCCAUCUAAAAAGGUUGCUACCUUAAGCAUUUCCAACGUGCGGGCACAGGAUGAAGCUGACUACUACUGUUCCGCUGGGAGACACAGUUCUAAUAGCAGAUGGGGAAGCUACCCUCAAACCUUCUUCACUUCUGCUUCACUUCUUUUCAAUCGGUGACCUAUAUCUUAGCAUCCC